rnacentral:siRNA from 1 species
GGUAGCGGCAGUGUGCUACUG